GAGAUGGAGUCUUGCUCUGUCGCCAGGCUGGAGUGCCGUGGUGCGAUCUCGACUCACUGCGACCUCUGCCUCCUGGGUUCCAGCGAUUCUCCUGCUUCAGCCUCCUGAGUAGCUGGGACUACAGGUGCCCGCCACCAUGCCCAGCUAAUUUUUGUAUUUUUAGUAGAGAUGAGGUUUCACCAUGUUGGCCAGGAUGGUCUUGAUCUCUUGACCUCGUGAUCUGCCCACCUCAGCCUCCCAAAGUGCUGAGGUUACAGGCAUGAGCCGCUGCGCGUGGCCUCCUCUUUUAUUAACAGGAGCUUUCUCUGCCCCAUUCCCCCCAUUUAUAAAUGAAAGAUAACAGGUUUUAUGUGGCUGGGAAUCAAAUCAUGGAAGGUGUCCUUCCAACUUAAGAUUUUGAGAUUCCUUGUGUAAAAACUGUUGAAGUCUGACUCUUCCUUGGUAGCUGCCUGAUUACAGAGCUUCAGAGAGGAGCUGGGCAGGUCCCGGUGCUCUGCUGUGCCAUAUGCAUGAGCAGUGCUCCUUUGGGUAGUCUUCAGUUGACUGUAGAAGGUGUGGAGUGGAUAAGAUUAUUGGGAAGUACUGGGUAAGUCACAUAGAACAAAGAUUUGAUUUAAACUGACUAGCUUAAAUGUCACUCCUGGCCGGGCGCGGUGGGGAAAUUAUUUAAAUGUGUUGGCUAUAAACUAGUGUUAUGUCAUGGAUCUGGAUAUAUGAGUAUGGUUAUAAAAAUCAGGAUGCCUGGCCUGAUUUGGAGCUUGGAAGGAGGUUCUGCGGCUGUUGUACACAGAUACUGGAGUAUCUGGGAGAUAUCCUUUGGAUGCUGAGGUGUGUCUGAGGCCAAAGGACAGAAUAUAGGAAUAUGGGAGAAUUUAGGCCAUGUGGUCAUUGUUCACGGGGCCACUAGUUUCACUCACUAAAGGAGUGGGUUCGUAGCUGCGUUGGAGACUGCAGCACACCCGUAGCAGUACUGUUUCUCAUGCAGUGGCUUUCCCACAGAGCCCAGCUCAGGUUUGCUGGUCUCACAUCAAAGUGCAUUCAAAGUGGGGAGAUUGACAAAGAUGCAGGUUCUGGGUCCUGUGACCAGAAAUUCGGACUCCUUUAGUCCGACAUGAAGCUUCAUCUGCCUUUGUAACUAGCUCUGCCCAUGGCCGUGGCCCACAGGUUGAGAAACUUUGUCCAGCCUAUUACCAUUCAGUUGUAUGUUUUGAGCUGUCUUUUAUUACUAAGUGAAAACUGGGUGAGAUUGUUGAAGAGGGACGAUUGCCACAGGGGUUUCCUGUGUUCUUAAUCUCCUGAAACUUGAGGACCUCAUGGUUACACCCUGCCCUACAAGUUUUCUCUUACCCGUUUAUUCAGGAUGUCACACAGCAUUAUUUAUUAAUAUUUGAAAGGUCUACCCCUGAGUAAGGAGGGUGGAUAUAUAUUUUUUUAAGUGGAAGAAACCAAACUUCAACUCCUAUAGCUCUCUGUGCUUGAAUCUUGUAACAGGCUGCUCUUAUAAGCAGUGCCCCAGAUCCUUCUAAUGGGGGAACCUCACCUGCCCUUGUCAGGAAAGAAGGGGGAAGGGCCCAGGAACCUUCCAGUCUGAGAGGCUGGUAUUCUGGUUCUUUCAUCGUGUGACUUAUACUAGUGAUCCCUAUCUUCUUGGGGGCAAGUGGGGAAGCCAUUCUCCUCUUGAAGCCGGUUAUCAGAGAACUAUGAACUCAUAGCGAGGUGACAGGAUUUUAGGAUGUGCAUUUGUCAAUUCCAAGUUAUUGUCCAGGCGUGUGUGUGUGUGUGUGUGUGUGUGUGUGUGUAAGGGGACUCCUAGAAUCACUGGCUAAUCAUCAAACCUUAUGUUAAUCAAUAUUUAUACUCUCUUCUGUUAGAUUUCUUUUAACAGAAUAACUUUAAAAGGUACCCACAUCUGAUAUUUUGAAUUUCACCUCCCGUCUCUUUUCCCUAUGCCCCACUUGGCUUUCUUCAGAAAUUCCAAGGGAGUGGUGAAAGAAUUAAGUGAGCAGCAGCAGGAGGAUGAAGCAAAGUUCUACCGGAUUAUAAAUGGUCUGAUCUAUUCCUUGCCAUCACCUGACCUCCCCCAAGCAUGACUGUGGGAUAUUGACCCCAGGACCCCCACCUCCACCCACCUUGGGGGUCUAGAAGAAUGUGUCGACAAUGAUGCCUGCAAAGCAGCAGCUUCAUGUGUCUGACUGCCCACUGCAUCAUCUCAGCUGCCUCUGGAUAGGAUUCUGCCAGCUCCUGGCCAGACUAGUUCUGUUGCAUUGCACAGGCUGAGCAAAAAGAAGGGAGAUGUGUUACUGGGCAGAGUGAGCUCCAGACAUGCCAGACAUGCAGGGACUGUCCUAUAACAUGGAACUCAGCCGAGCAUGGAGACAGAGUAAGGGUGGUGGGCUUUUUGGGCGCUAGAAAGAGUACCAGGCCUUCACCUCUUCACCUCUCACCUCACACAAUGGCUAUUUUAUUUGCUGCUGAUCCUAGCCAGUGUUAAUCAGGCCUGAGCCUACCAGUCUCCAGCUGCCAAAUUAUGGCUCCCAAUAGUCACUGGCAAUUGGACCUAUCUGAUCUUUCUUAUGUCAGGUCU
rnacentral:lncRNA from 1 species